AACGAACGCUGGCGGCAUGCCUAACACAUGCAAGUCGAACGAGACCUUCGGGUCUAGUGGCGCACGUGUGCGUAACGCGUGGGAACCUGCCCUUAGGUUCGGUAUAACUCCCCGAAAGGGGUGCUAAUACCGGAUAAUGUCUUCGGACCAAAGAUUUAUCGCCUUUGGAUGGGCGCGCGUUGGAUUAGCUAGUUGGUAGGGUAAAAGCCUGUCAAGGCGACGAUGCAUAGCUGGUCUGAGAGAAGGAUCAGCCACACUGGGACUGAGACACGGCCCAGAAUCCUACGGGAGGGAGCAGAAGGGAAUAUUGGACGAGGGGCGAAAGCGUGAUAAAGCAAUGCCGGGUGAGUGAUGAAGGCGUUAGGGUUGUAAAGCUCUUUUAGCCGGGAUGAUAAUGACAGUACCGGGAGAAUAAGCUCCGGCUAACUCCGUG
rnacentral:rRNA from 1 species